rnacentral:lncRNA from 1 species
AUGUCAUCAGGACCAUUUCCUAUUAUGUUUCCUAAUGCUGGAGUGAGCGGGAGGCAUCGCAAAGGGAGAGCAAAGGGCCAGGGGGACUGGCAGAGGAUUGAUUCGUUCCCUGAAGCCCUCCUGUGCGAGGCACCGUGUGUGAAUUAUGGCAAUCCCAAUUUCACGAGAUCCUGCAGAGCCAUUCAUUGUGCCAGCACUGCCGGAUCCUCCCGUGAAGCCAAAGGGACGUCCGGGGGCCCAGGUGCGAGAGGAAAGAUGCGUGUCAGCCUUGAUAUGAUGAAAACAGGGAAGGAAGGGAUUCCCAGCCUGCCCUCCCAGAGACGUCCAGCAAUUUAUGCACUUCUUUCAUGUCACCUCUCCUCCCAGCCAGCUGUGAAUCCCCUAAGGCAGGAGGAAGCCUCCCUCUAUUUUCUGAUCCAAAAUCCUUUCAAAACACGGGCAGAAAAAAGCCACCUUUCUCAUUAGGGAUAUGAAGGCUGGCAAGAGCCAGAGGAAAUAUUGGAAGUGUGCUCCAGCAGAAGGGCUGGUGGCUCCAGGGGGAGUCCUGCAGGAGCAGCGCGGCUUCACGGGGGCAUGUAGGGUCCGACUGCAUUCGUCACGGAGGAAGAUGAAGGCUUUCCUUUCAACAUUUCCAUUGGGAAGAGGGAGGAGUGAGGGGGAAGCUGCAUUCAGACUUUGUCAUCCCAUUUUGUUUUGACUUCUGUGCUAAACCGAGUCAAAACAGGAUGAAGCAAGACACUGUGAAGUAAAAAUCGUUAUUUUUUAAAAAAUCUCGAUAUGCUGAAAUUAAAACAAUAAAAUAUCUGUGAUAGAUUUCA